rnacentral:rRNA from 1 species
AUACGUAGGGAGCAAGCGUUGUCCGGAUUUACUGGGUGUAAAGGGUGUGUAGGCGGCAGUGCAAGUCAGGUGUGAAAUGUAUGGGCUCAACCCAUGAACUGCACUUGAAACUGUGCUGCUUGAGUGAAGUAGAGGCAAGCGGAAUUCCCGGUGUAGCGGUGAAAUGCGUAGAGAUCGGGAGGAACACCAGUGGCGAAGGCGGCUUGCUGGGCUUUAACUGACGCUGAGGCACGAAAGCGUGGGUAGCAAACAGGAUUAGAUACCCUGGUAGUCCAUGCUGUAAACGAUGAUUACUAGGUGUGGGUGGACUGACCCCAUCCGUGCCGGAGUUAACACAAUAAGUAAUCCACCUGGGAGGUACGACCGCAAGGUUGAA